rnacentral:lncRNA from 1 species
GGAGCCUGAGUGCAUGCCUAACAAGAUUCAGGGAUGAGAGGAAGAAAAGGAAGCCAGGGCUUCUCGAAAGCUGACUUCUAUCUCGUGCUGGGCAGGUUCACUGAAGAAUUACAAAGCUGAAAGGCGGUUCACAGUCACCUCUCCAAGGACUUCUUUCCAAUUCCAGGUUUGUACUGAGGUCGUGGGGCAGACACAAGCAGCUUGUGCAAUCCCUGCAGUGCUGGAUGAAAAUCAGCACGCGGCAAAUAGGACCUCCGUCCACACAGCCAGGUGUAUGCAAAUGCUUCCUUACCAUUGUUCAAUUCAAGGUGGCAGACGUCCAGAUCAGCUGGGAGCACAGGAGGCAAACAAAAGACUGCAGGAGCUGCAGGUGACUUCAGCC